rnacentral:rRNA from 1 species
AUUGAACGCUGGCGGCAUGCCUUACACAUGCAAGUCGAACGGCAGCACGGGUGCUUGCCCCUGGUGGCGAGUGGCGAACGGGUGAGUAAUACAUCGGAACAUGUCCUGUAGUGGGGGAUAGCCCGGCGAAAGCCGGAUUAAUACCGCAUGCGAUCUACGGAUGAAAGCGGGGGACCUUCGGGCCUCGCGCUAUAGGGUUGGCCGAUAGCUGAUUAGCUAGUUGGUGGGGUAAAGGCCUACCAAGGCGACGAUCAGUAGCUGGUCUGAGAGGACGACCAGCCACACUGGGACUGAGACACGGCCCAGACUCCUACGGGAGGCAGCAGUGGGGAAUUUUGGACAAUGGGCGAAAGCCUGAUCCAGCAAUGCCGCGUGUAUGAAGAAGGCCUUCGAGUUGUAAAGCACUUUUGUCCGGAAAGAAAUCCUUGGCUCUAAUACAGUCGGGGGAUGACGGUACCGGAAGAAUAAGCACCGGCUAACUACGUG